CAAAUCUAAACAAGCUAAGGUGUUGUUCUUGUCCAGAAUAGUUUGCGCCAGUUGUAUGGCUUCUGUAUCGCUAAUCUGGUUCCAGAUUAUAUCCAAAUG